UACGUAGGGGGCAAGCGUUGUCCGGAAUCAUUGGGCGUAAAGAGCGCGUAGGCGGCCCUGUAAGUCCGCUGUGAAAGUCAAGGGCUCAACCCUUGAAUGCCGGUGGAUACUGCAGGGCUAGAGUCCGGAAGAGGCGAGUGGAAUUCCUGGUGUAGCGGUGAAAUGCGCAGAUAUCAGGAGGAACACCGAUGGCGAAGGCAGCUCGCUGGGACGGUAUUGACGCUGAGGCGCGAAAGCGUGGGGAUCAAACAGG
rnacentral:rRNA from 1 species